rnacentral:lncRNA from 7 species
GAGGAGAGCGGCGGUGCCCGCGGAGCCCGCGCUGCGCCUCAUUCCCGCGCUGCCGUGUGAGGCCGCGGCUCAGCGCUGCGUUCAGCCCGGGCUUCCCGCUCUCUGAAAGACAGCGAGGCCCUGGAGCGUCCUGAGGGAGGCAGCGACGCUGUGAGGACACAUGGCCCUCAGAACCCCAGCGCUUGGCUCCUGGCAGGGCAGAAGACAUUGUGACAUGGCGGCACAGCAGCAGCAGGAUGUCCCCUUGGAGCUCAUCCCCAGCUUGUUCUACACGAGGGCUUCCUGCCAUUGCCUGCCUGCACAUGGAGCACGAAUCUGAAUGCAGCUCAUCUCAGACACCUGAAGCCCUCAGCGCAGCUGGCAGCAGUGCGGUAUGGACACGCCAAGUUUGCACAGUGGUGUUGGCAGCUGCAGCACAUCCACCUUCACGUUGGCACCGUGACACGGUGAGCAAACACGAGCACACACACCAGGGCUGUCUGUAACUGUGUGGCUGCAGAGGACAGCCCCACGAGCUGCGGGUUUGAUCUGAUGGAGGCACGUGAAGGGGAUUUUCCUGCACAUAAGGAGGCUUACAAAGAUAAGGUCUUAUCUUCCUCUCUUGUUUGCAUCUAGAUUUUUCACUGGUAAGAUUUAGAAAAUCACUUCCCAGAUAUGUACCUAAUUCAGUCAAGAUACCACACACUGCAUUUUACCUACAAAAACCAGAUCCAAUUGAAAGAAAAUAAAACCUUCUGUGUUUUAGCCUGGCAGUACCUGAUACGACAAAAACAAGGUAGACGGAAACAUGAUCAAAUAAACAACAGCUGCUUAGAGCAGUGAAUGCAAACCGUCUUUGCCACACUGACAGCAGGCAGGACAAGAGGGAGGCUGUGAGCUGGGUGCUGCAUUUAAACCCACUCCUAAUGGUUUGCUUUGCUCACACGCGUGACAGCUGAGGAGGCACUCACUCCCUGCAGCCCCGUGUUUUCUGUGCAUUCAGCGGCAGCAGAGGAGUGCUAAAUGCAGGGCUGCUGGGUGAUGGCUGGUGGGGAUGGCAGGAGGGAGGGCUUCAGCAAUGGGUGCUGCGGGUGCGUUGGGUGUAGAAAGCAUGGGGCAAAACCUGUUCUUGCCCAUGCUGUCUGCAGCACUGAAGCAGACUUUCUCCUUGCUCUGCUCGUUGUAGCUGGGCAAGCUGAGUGCUCAUUUCUCACCAGCACCACGUCCUUCCAGUUUGCCUCAGACAUUGCCUGUCAGUCUGGCUUGUGUUUCUGGCCACUGUCGCCCCUUAAUGGCCCUGUGAGAGUGUCAAAGUGGCACUCGCUUUGAAAUAUAUCUCCAGAUACGGUGAAUGUUGAUCUCUGCAAAUGCUCAUGCAGUUUUAACCUUACUAACGCACCAACGCAGGAGCGGCUGCUGCAGCUAGAUAGAUCCACGUGGCUCAGAGAGCAAUCUAUUGAGAGCCCUGACAGGAAAUUGGAUGUUAGUCAGCGCGCAGUGAUAAGGACAGGGCUCCUAAUUCAACAUCACUUUUCACAUCUAGCUCAUCAGAAAAGGAGCAGAAGGGAUCCGCAUUUAUAAGACAAAAGGCAAAUAAAACGUGG